rnacentral:rRNA from 1 species
GAUGAACGCUAGCGGCAGGCCUAAUACAUGCAGGUCGGACGGGAUUCAGGAGCUUGCUUCUGAUGAGAGUGGCGCACGGGUGCGUAACACGUAUGUAACCUACCUUUAUCAGGGGGAUAGCCUCUCGAAAGAGAGAUUAAGCCCGCAUAAAAUCACAGCACAGCAUUGUGUAAUGAUCAAAUAUUUAUAGGAUAAAGAUGGGCAUGCGGAACAUUAGCUAGAUGGCGGGGUAACGGCCCACCAUGGCGACGAUGUUUAGGGGAUCUGAGAGGAUGGCCCCCCACACUGGUACUGAGACACGGACCAGACUCCUACGGGAGGCAGCAGUAAGGAAUAUUGGUCAAUGGGCGGAAGCCUGAACCAGCCAUGCCGCGUACAGGAAGACGGCCCUACGAGUUGUAAACUGCUUUUAUACGGGAAUAAACCCAGAUACGUGUAUCUGGCUGAAUGUACUGUAAGAAUAAGAAUCGGCUAACUCCGUG